GAGCAGAUGAUGAUAUAGAUAUAAAACAAGUAUUUCUGAGACUUGUCUAUGAAGUCUCAAAAUCGAGCUUUUUAAAACUGAUGCUCA